rnacentral:rRNA from 1 species
AACGAACGCUGGCGGCAUGCCUAACACAUGCAAGUCGAACGAGACCUUCGGGUCUAGUGGCGCACGGGUGCGUAACGCGUGGGAACCUGCCCUUAGGUUCGGAAUAACUCCCCGAAAGGGGUGCUAAUACCGGAUAAUGUCUUCGGACCAAAGAUUUAUCGCCUUUGGAUGGGCCCGCGUUGGAUUAGCUAGUUGGUAGGGUAAAAGCCUACCAAGGCGACGAUCCAUAGCUGGUCUGAGAGGAUGAUCAGCCACACUGGGACUGAGACACGGCCCAGACUCCUACGGGAGGCAGCAGUGGGGAAUAUUGGACAAUGGGCGAAAGCCUGAUCCAGCAAGGCCGCGUGAGUGAUGAAGGCCUGAGGGUUGUAAAGCUCUUUUACCCGGGAUGAUAAUGACAGUACCGGGAGAAUAAGCACCGGCUAACUCCGUG